CACGGACUUCCCCGCGCGUCCUAAAAUACCAGAGAGCCACCGCCGCCUCUUCGAUUCCCCAAUCCCCACUUCCCCGUCUCCUCCACGGACCCCCCAAAAAUCCCAAAUUGCCGGCGGAACCCUAGCUAGCUCUGGUGCUACUGCCACCUCCUCCGGCGGAAUCGGCGGCGGCUCCUUCCCGGCGCCACACCUCGGAGGUUGCGCUGCUCGGCGCGUCCCCGUCGCGUCCUUCCUCCGGCUACACCUUCAGGAUUUCGCGCCGCUCUCGUCCGAGGGCUUUGAACCGUCCUCUUACCUCUGUGCACAUGUGUUAUCCGUUCAUGUGCAAAGCAGGACGAUUACACCAUCAAUGGGUGUCGGACAUGAAAUCUUCCACCCUCCUUUGCCAGUGUUGUGUCAUGCUCGAGCACGCCAUCAACUUGUGCCGGACACGGACUCCACAUGAACUCCGUCCUUUGCCACAUAAUAGGCAUCGAGUGCUCUACGGAAGCAUCCAAUCUCGCUGUUCUACCAACUUCACCGGAACACCGACCGCCGGUGCUCCACCUGAGGUUGUUUUCAACUGGAGACAAAUCAGUGUUAUUGUCAUGCAUGGAAGAAGAGCUCGACCUUAUUGCAAACAUGUUUUAUUGCAGACCAUGCUGUAGAGUCGCACAAACCGCUAGUGCUGUAUUUGCUUUGUGACAUUUUCAGAUCCGCAGAUAGAUCCGCUGAUGGAUUUAAGUUUUCAUUCACCAACUACUCAAUUCCUCGGAGAUGAGGAUCGUUCUGUAGCUCAUGCGGAUCCAUCAGCAUGGAGAAGUUCGAUGAUUUUAAGGUAUGAGGUUGGUGACUGGGUUACAGUCAAAGCAACAUUCCCGUCCCCAAAAUAGCCAUGAUACAGCCGAUGAAGUUAGGAUAGUUGCGAUUCAGGUUUGUGUGGAAAGUAAGCUGGUUUGCUCUACCCGCCAUGACUCAUUUAUUCUGUGCAUUGUGACAUUUUCCUGGGCCUUCUGUUUGCAGUGUGGCACAUACAAAGAGAAGAUUAAGAGACUAAUUUCUUAAUGAUUUUGAUUGUGCAGCAUAAAAUAGUUACAUGGUUAUGUUGAAAAUAGCCAUGUUUUGCAGAAGAUAAACACAAGGACCCACUUUCCUAUUUUUUUUCUAUGUCAUGUGCUUUUCCUGCUGCAGGGACUUUUGUAGGGAAAUUCACCAUGGAAAUUUAAAUAAUGGUUCCCUGCCCAUCAGUUUACUUUCUUGAAUUUAUUCUUCAUGCUACAGGCCACACUUUUCCUAUUUUGUUAAAGAAGUGAACUCAUUCCUAAACUUCCACCAUAUGUACAUUAACACUGGGAUACUGUGCCAACCCAGCAAUACUCUGAUCCUUCUUUGUACCACUGAUGCUUCUUUGUACCACGUUCAUAUAUAUGCCUUGAACAUAUACUGUUGUUUUGACAUCUGAUUGUACCUUUCUAUGUGAAAAUGAGAAGUGCUAGGUGUACAGAAACCUGCACUCAUAUUUCUUACAUGCAUGAUCUAUUAUGUAUGAUCCUUUUUAUAUUGCUUACACGCGUGAUUUAUCUGAUUGCCAGUAGAACUAUUUGUGUUGGCAUGUCAGUUUUGUAACUUAAUACCUUCCAUCUUAUUCAUUGAUAAUGCUUUGAAGACACCGACAAUAAUAAUUAAAUUAAAUUGUGCCUGAACAUGUCAAUUGCAAUGACAGGUUCUCACCUAUUAUCUCAUUUUAAAUCAAAAUUGUGGAUGCCCAGUAGGUGGUUGGCUGAUGGAGAGUGUUGCACUGCUGCUUAUUUAAUGGUCAGUAGUGCAGCUCCUGAUCAAGCCAAUUUUCGUUUACCUUCAGUUUCUUUUGAUUUAUUUGCGUUUUCGUAGUGAAAAUAUGAAGACACAUUUUCUAAAUUACUUUAGGAUAUGUUCAGAAGAAUAUGCUAGAUUUGGUCCGAUUAUAUUUUCUCAAUUCCUAUGUCAUCUCUCACAUGGCUAUGUGCUCUCUCUAAUUCAGCUCUCAAUUCCUAUGUCAUUUCUCAGUUCUGGGUGUUUUCCGUAUGGAUAUCUAAUUCAGCUUUAUCUUAUUCUCUGAAGUUUAAUGUUGAUUCCAUAGUUAUCUUUCCUUGUGAAGGAAAACAGCAGGAAGGAAAUAGAGCGGGUUGUGUGUCAUCGUGCACGCAGUCUGCCUUCCAUUGGCAUGCGAGUACUUGCACUUGGAUCGCCCAAUUGUGUGUGCACAGCAGGGGACCAUGCGCUGGAACAUCGGAUUCAACCUACUCACAAGUUGAAGAGAAGGUUACGUAUGCUUUUUAAUUUUUGAACAAUCAGUACUGCACCAGCGGUAAUCUACAGGGAAGGCAAGGAUAUCUAGAUUAAACAUUUCACAAGAUCCUCCCAAUUAUAGGCACAAUCUCCUUUUCAAGAUAUUACGAGUGGUUGACUACCGGAGAUUAUCAGAUGGAAAGAUGGUUGUAUGAUCUUCGAGGCUGCUGCUUCUUUGUUAUGUCGAUCGAGGCUGUAUGAUCUCUGCAGGUUGCUGCUUGUUUGUUCUGCCAGUGGAGGUCACCGCAACAUAGCUUGCAAUCUAGGUUGUUGCCAAGUUAACUUGGGAUUGGUAACCUACAAUGUAUCAUGUGAAGGUGGGAUUACAUUCUAUACUCUUGAAGCUAUGUAGAAUUUUGUAUGUACAUUGUUCACUUCAGCAAAAUAGAGAUCCCCUAACUAGCAGAUCAAUGUUGGCUAUGAUCGCACUUUUCUACAUUGUCAUAUUCGUAGAUAUACCGUGUGAUGGAGUAUCAACUAGCUACCUUUGGUCGCACUUAGUAUAAAAGUCUCAUAUAUUGCCGUGUAUGUACGUUCUGCAUCGUACAACAACAUACCAAUAGUGUUUAUAUCUAAAUUGAUUGUUUGCUGAACAAUUUCUCUAAUGUAUAUCUGUGAAAUUACUAAUAUAUGGAUUUUCGUUGCGGUAAAAAACUCCGAGAUCCAAUCGCAGGCAUGAUCGACCAAGCCAACAAAAUUAUUGCCAUAGUCGCAUGGAUUUGUUUCCAUAGGUAUAAAUCCCUAUGUGGAAAGAGACACAAAGUAACACAUAUCAUUCCUAAAAAAGACAUCAAUCAAGUACAAAUCGCCUGAAAACGAGGGGAGAUGGCAAAUCCAAACGAAUACGAGCCAUAUCCGUGCAUCAAAGCAAUUUGAGGCAAUAAGAAAGGGGCAGAAAUCUCACCAGCUUUAGAGUAACACGAACAAUAGGGGUUCGUCUUGCAGGCCUAGGAAAACCUUUCGUGCGCCGGACACCGAGCAGUCCAGGACAGUAAACCUUAAAUACUUUGUAGAUACUAUUAGACAUGCACAUAUUUUUUAGCUAAUUAAUAAAGGAGUAAAGAUAAUACAUGCUUAUGCCUAAGUGGUUGCUAAAACCU